rnacentral:rRNA from 1 species
GACGAACGCUGGCGGCGUGCCUAAUACAUGCAAGUCGAGCGAGCGGAACCAACAGAUUUACUUCGGUAAUGACGUUGGGAAAGCGAGCGGCGGAUGGGUGAGUAACACGUGGGGAACCUGCCCCUAAGUCUGGGAUACCAUUUGGAAACAGGUGCUAAUACCGGAUAAGAAAGCAGAUCGCAUGAUCAGCUUUUAAAAGGCGGCGUAAGCUGUCGCUAAGGGAUGGCCCCGCGGUGCAUUAGCUAGUUGGUAAGGUAACGGCUUACCAAGGCAACGAUGCAUAGCCGAGUUGAGAGACUGAUCGGCCACAUUGGGACUGAGACACGGCCCAAACUCCUACGGGAGGCAGCAGUAGGGAAUCUUCCACAAUGGACGCAAGUCUGAUGGAGCAACGCCGCGUGAGUGAAGAAGGUUUUCGGAUCGCAAAGCUCUGUUGUUGGUGAAGAAGGAUAGAGGUAGUAACUGGCCUUUAUUUGACGGUAAUCAACCAGAAAGUCACGGCUAACUACGUG